UUAUCCGGAUUUAUUGGGUUUAAAGGGAGCGUAGGCGGACGUUUAAGUCAGUUGUGAAAGUUUGCGGCUCAACCGUAAAAUUGCAGUUGAUACUGGGUGUCUUGAGUACAGUAGAGGCAGGCGGAAUUCGUGGUGUAGCGGUGAAAUGCUUAGAUAUCACGAAGAACUCCGAUUGCGAAGGCAGCUUGCUGGACUGUAACUGACGCUGAUGCUCGAAAGUGUGGGUAUCAAACAGGAUUAGAUACCCUGGUAGUCCACACAGUAAACGAUGAAUACUCGCUGUUUGCGAUAUACAGUAAGCGGCCAAGCGAAAGCGUUAAGUAUUCCACCUGGGGAGUACGCCGGCAACGGUGGAACUCAAAGGAAUUGACGGGGGCCCGCACAAGCGGAGGAACAUGUGGUUUAAUUC
rnacentral:rRNA from 1 species